GACAGAGGGUGCAACCGUUGUUCGGAAUUACUGGGCGUAAAGCGCAUGUAGGCGGCUCGGCAAGUCGGAUGUGAAAGCCCAGGGCUCAACCCUGGAAGUGCACUCGAAACUCCCGAGCUGGAGUCCCGGAGAGGAAGGCGGAAUUCUCGGUGUAGAGGUGAAAUUCGUAGAUAUCGAGAGGAACCCCUGUGGCGAAGGCGGCCUUCUGGACGGUGACUGACGCUGAGGCACGAAGGUCAGGGGAGCAAACGGG
rnacentral:rRNA from 1 species